rnacentral:pre_miRNA from 1 species
CUUACCUACCAGCUCCCUGAGUUUACCAAAAUCUGCCUUCCUGGAUUUCAGGAAGGCAGAUUUUGGUAAGCUCAGAGAGCUGGUAGGUAAGGACCCAU